rnacentral:rRNA from 1 species
ACUCCUACGGGAGGCAGCAGUGGGAAGUAUUGCACAAUGGGGGAAACCCUGAUGCAGCCAUGCCGCGUGUGUGAAGAAGGCCUUCGGGUUGUAAAGCACUUUCAGUAGGGAGGAAGGUAGUGUAGUUAACACCUGCAUUAUUUGACGUUACCUACAGAAGAAGCACCGGCUAACUCCGUGCCAGCAGCCGCGGUAAUACGGAGGGUGCGAGCGUUAAUCGGAAUUACGUGGGCGUAAAGCGCAUGCAGGCGGCCUGUUAAGUCAGAUGUGAAAGCCCGGGGUCUUAACCGUCGGAAUUGCAUUUGAAACUGGCAGGCUAGAGUCUUGUAGAGGGGUUAGAAUUUCAGGUGUAGCGGUGAAAUGCGUAGAGAUCUGAAGGAAUACCGAGUGGCGAAGGCGGCCCCUGGACAAAGACUGACGCUCAGAUGCGAAA